CGAAUCAAUUCCAGCUUCACCAUGACCAUGACUACAGAUGUGUGAGUUACUUAGAUAGUAUAAAUUUCUAUGAUAGCAUUAAUAGGCAAGAAGUGGGAAAUGCAUCUUUACAUAGAAUGUAACUAGAUAGUAGAUUUAUUCUAACACUAGAAUGAUCAAUCAUCGACGUAGUUGUAAACAAUUCAUAACUGUUUGUAUUUUUUAUAUAAUAAAUGGUGAUCCCAAGCAUCUUUUAUACAUGUUGCUUGGUUUUGGUUAUAUUCAAAAUGUUACAAUUUAAAUGGUGAAUAAGGUGUUGUUGGAUGGAUCCAUAAGCUCUAAAUGGUAAAGAGCGCUUACUAAAUGAGAGGUUGGUGGUUCAAAUCCAUCUGGUUCCAAUUUGCGUCUACUAUUAAUAUGAUAAACAAUUAUUAUUGAGUUGAUUAAUGUAAUAAUCAACUAGUGUUUUGAUUGAUUAAUAUACCAAUCAACUGAACAAAAAGAAAAAUAUAAUUAUUUUUAGUUGAUUAAUGUUCUAAUCAACUAUUGUUGUCUUGAUUAAUGUACUAAGCAACUAAUUUUUUAGUUGAUCAAUAUAUUAAUCAACUGAACAAAAAGAAAAAUAUAAUUUUCAUAGUUGAUUAAUGUACUAAUCAACUAUUGUUGAGUUGAUUAAUAUACUAAUCAACUAAAUAGAAAAUAAUACCUGAUUAAUGUGUUAAUCAAUUGGUAUAAGAGUUGAUUGGUGUGUUGAUCAGCUGCAAUACGAAUCAAUUAAUGUGUUAUUCAACUUUUAGAAUUGUUUCAGUUGUCUUACGAUUGGUCGUCACAAUAGGAGGACUUCCCCAAAUCUGAACAACAAUUAGAUUGUAGUUGUAUUUGAUGUUUUGUUUUUCAAUUGGUAUAAUUCAUUUUUAUUUUUAGUUUUUUUCUUCGCUUGUAUGACAUUAUAUUUAAGUGGUAACAAUAUAUAUCACUUUAUGAGAUGUGGAAAAGUUUACUGACAAUUUCAUUAUUGUGUUAAUCAAGUGAGGAAAUGUUGAUUAAUGUACGUCCUAAGUUGAUUAACACCAGACAAAUAGCAAAUACCCAUUUAUACCUCAAAAAAUAGUCAAAUAACACUUCCAUUGAUAUAAACAUCAAAAUAAGUGCUUGCAAAAUAGUUUUUUCAUCAUAACUAGUUGAUAAAAAAAUAACUGUAUUAUUAAUACACACCAAAAGAAGAAUAAAUUUUUUAUCUACAACAUAUCCACUAUUGACAUUUUUCAUUCUUGAGGUUUUUGUUGUUCUUUGAGAGUUGCUACUUCCUUAUUUACUAGUAUUUGUUGUUGAUCCAAUGCCCCUUUGUCAAAGCUUAGUCUUUCUCAGUUGCUUUCCUUUUCUUAGGAGGUGAUCUUUUCUGAAAGAUGAAAUUGUUUUACAUCAGUUUCACUUAAUGACUGAAAAAACAAAAAUAAUAUCAAUUUUUGUAUGAGAAGAUUAGUUGAUUAACAAACUAAUCAACAUCUUUUAAGUUCAUUAAUUUACUAAUCAACUACUGUUGAGUUGAUUAAUAUAUUAAUCAAGUUUUGAUCAUAUCUUAAUCAACUUAAAUUUAAUAAUCUCCGGUUGAGAUGAUUAAUAUAUUAAUCAAGUUUUGAUCAUAUAGUAAACAACUCAAAUUUAAUCAUCUCCGGUUGAGGUGAUUAAUAUAUUAAUCAACUGAAGUUGAACUUGGUUACCAACACAAUUGAAAGCUAACGGUUGAUAAUCAAUAUUGUUUGAGUAGAUUGGUACAUUAAUUAACUGUUGAUUAAUUUACUAAUCAACUCAAACUGAAGUUGAACUUGGUUAGCAACAAUAAUAUUUUAAGUUUUUAACCAAUUGAACUGAUUUUUACAUCAAAAUAAGAAAUUAAAAAUUUUAACUUACAUCAUAAUCAGAAAUAUGGUCUUCAAAAUCUAAAUCUCUCUCUUCCUCGUCGUGACGAUUAGGUAUGCUUUUGAGAGAUUUCCUAUUUUUCUAAAGACCCGUUGUUAUAGUAUGUUUAGCUCUUCCCAUUGCAAAACCCUUAAUCUAAAUCUAAGGUUUUGGAAAAAAAAUAUAUUGGAUUUUAGAAAACUAGGGUUUGAUUUAAGUUUUAUUUUGGUUGAUUGGAGUGAAAUUAGAGAGAAAUUGCACAGAGGAUCGAAGAAAUUGAAUGUCCGUGUUGAAGUCCGAGAAAGAGGACGAAGAGAGAGAAGGAUUUCGGGUUUGAUCGAAAUUGAAGAAGAAACCUCCCAUUAACCAUUACUGGCGACGUAUCCUCAGAACAGGACAAGCAUAAUACAUGCCCGACCGGACCACUUAAUCAACUCCCCACCAGACCACUUAACUUCAUCACUUCAUUAUGAUAUUUGUGUGUUCGCUUUGAAGUACUAGUCAUUUAGACAAUUGACAUGGAUGGCAGGAUAUGAGGAUAUGCAUUUGUGUGUUUGUUAACAAAUAAUGAUAAGAAAACUUUG
rnacentral:lncRNA from 1 species